rnacentral:rRNA from 1 species
GAUGAACGCUGGCGGCGUGCUUAACACAUGCAAGUCGAACGGUGAACACGGAGCUUGCUCUGUGGGAUCAGUGGCGAACGGGUGAGUAACACGUGAGCAACCUGCCCCUGACUCUGGGAUAAGCGCUGGAAACGGCGUCUAAUACUGGAGAUGUGACGUGACCGCAUGGUCUGCGUUUGGAAAGAUUUUUCGGUUGGGGAUGGGCUCGCGGCCUAUCAGCUGGUUGGUGAGGGAAUGGCUCACCAAGGCUUCGACGGGUAGCCGGCCGGAGAGGGUGACCGGGCACACUGGGACUGAGACACGGCCCAGAGUCCUACGUGGGGCAGCAGUGGGGAAUAUUGCACAAUGGGCGCAAGCCUGAUGCAGCAACGCCGCGUGAGGGAUGACGGCCUUCGGGUUGUAAACCUCUUUUAGCAGGGAAGAAGCGAAAGUGACGGUACCUGCAGAAAAAGCGCCGGCUAACUACGUG